CGCGGUGAAAACAAAAAUAAAAAGUUGUUUGUAUUCGGUAUAACCUUAAAGAAUUUAAGAAUUUAAACAAUGGUUGAGUUAACAACGGAAGUACAUCCGUUAUUAACACAAGAGUUGAUUAAACUUUUAAGAGAUAAGUGUGUGUCCACGAUUUACCAAUUUCUGGAGCAAGACGCACAGGUUUUGAGCAAAAUCACAAAACUACCAUUCAAAUCGAUUCUUGUCAUCAGAAAACACAUUUUAAACAAAAACGCGGCAGUCACACGUAACGGAUUGGACUACUACUAUGAAAUGCUUCAAAAAACAGCAAUUAUUUCCACAAAUCAUUCCAAUUUAGAUGCCAUUUUGGGUGGAGGUUUUUACACUGGAAGCAUUUAUGAAGUCUGCACACGAUCCGCACAACAAUUACCAAUGUUUAUUUAUAAAUUCAUGCUUGAUUUCUUAGAGAAACACAAAAAUCAGCAAACUCUCAUGUAUUAUGACACAAAAUUCACAUUCAAUCCUUUAUAUUUAAAGUAUAUCUGUGAUAAACAAUUUGGUAUUGGUAAAGAAGACGAAAUAUUUGCUAAUUUAUUCGUUGGGCAAGUUAAGGACAUUGUUCAAUUAAUUGAUGGCAUGUAUGAACUCAAGCAAAAACUUGAAAGGAAGAAAACAAAAGUGAGAGUAGUUGUGAUUGAUUCAUUAACAGCCAUUUUAUAUUCUAGCAUAAGAAUUGAGAAGCAUAACAUGUUGUUGAACUGUUUAAUCAAUGUUAUGAGAUUAAUGGCUGUAGAGUAUCAUAUUUGUUUUGUUAUCACUAGUUUACUGACUGUUGAGGGUGAUAAAGUUUAUGGUGGGAAGUAUUGGCAGACUUUGCCUAAUGUUAGAUUAGUUUUGGAAGCUAAAGAGAAUCAUUUUCAAAUUAAUAUUGUUAAAAAUAACUUGGGUGAUGCCAAUCAACAUUGUACUAUCGUUUUAUAAUUUAUAAGCCAAGCAAUUCUGAAAACUCGAAUAAUUCUGAUAAUUUCAAUGGAAAUAAAGAUUCGCCAGAGAGUUCAGGGCGUUCAAGUGAAGAUGAAGAAGAAACGAAAGGCAAUAACUUAACUAGAUACACCAUUACCAUCAGCUGAUAAACUGCC